GCUGAAUCCUGCAUAGCUCCUACUGGAGAUGUGCCCACAACCAAGGUACAUGCCCUUGACCAGAAUCAAACCUGGGACCCUUCAGUCCGCAGGCCGGCGCUCUAUCCAUUGAGCCAAACCAAUCAGGGCAAUAAAUAGUGCAUGUUUUGAUCUUAGAUGCAUUUCCUCCCACCAGAUUAUUUCUGAAAGAAGACAGUAAGUUCUUACUAUUAAAAUUCAUUUUAGUUAGACAUAGAUUUGUAGAAGACCAUAUACUUUGAAGACCAUAUUACCUUCUUCACAA